GACACGCUGGCGGCGUGCCUAACACAUGCAAGUCGAACGGAGAUAUGAUUUCGGUUGUAUCUUAGUGGCGAACGGGUGAGUAACGCGUGAGCAACCUGACUCUUAGAGGGGGAUAACACCCGGAAACGAGUGCUAAUACCGCAUAAGACCACGACAUGGCAUCAUGACGAGGUCAAAGGAGCAAUCCGCUGAGAGAGGGGCUCGCGUCCCAUUAGAUAGAUGGCGGGGUAAUGGCCCACCAUGUCAGCGAUGGGUAGCCGAGCUGAGAGGCUGAUCGGCCACACUGGAACUGAGACACGGUCCAGACUCCUACGGGAGGCAGCAGUGGGGAAUAUUGGGCAAUGGGCGCAAGCCUGACCCAGCAACGCCGCGUGAGGGAAGAAGGCUUUCGGGUUGUAAACCUCUGUCCUUGGUGACGAAAAAAAUGACGGUAGCCAAGGAGGAAGCCCCGGCUAACUACGUG
rnacentral:rRNA from 1 species